UUUGGGCACUCGAUGCUAAAUGGAAACACAGACAACUCUGACAUAAACACAUUUAUGAGGAGACGAACCCCCGUCCCGCGACCCCCACAGCUCAAAGUCCAUUCAUGUCCAGUCCUCUGAUGGAAGCUUCACAGAGUGGCCUGCGAAACAGCCAACAGGUGGGGGUCACUCUUCCUUCGCAGCCGACAAAGGGGUGCGUUUAACAACUUCCGUGCUCACAGCAACGAAGAGCUUAUCAAGAGCUGAGACCCAACCUUCCUGAUCUUUCCACUUCCGUUCUGGGCAGAUCCACCCAUUCAUCUGCUUCACUUCGGAUGCAAGGGACUGCAUUUAGAUUACUGCAGGAUUGAUUUCACUGCAAUACUGUGUUUAUGUUUAUUAUUGCAGGAGUGCUUCGGAGAAUGUAACUAUUUACAAUGAUUUCCUUCAGGAAAAUCAAAAUCAAAACAAUAAUGAACUUGCAUAAACAGUUUAAGUUCUAGGUCCCAACCCUUGGCAAUGACUUUGUCGAGCACAGUCAUAACUUUUCCAGGCAGAAGAUAAAAGCAAUGUUUAAACAUAA